ensembl:snoRNA
ACUCUCUUGGGUCUGUAUAGUUACACCUGACUUCACUUGUGUGACUUUUGCAAUGAGAAGAGAGAAAAAAGGUCCCUUGGUACCUCAGCUCCGCCUCUUUCCUUGAAGGAUACAACAAAA